GAAACAAAUAUUGGGGAGCUCCAGAAAAUGAAGGUGAUGAAAGCUUGAGAGUACAGAGCUUUUCGAAGAUACUUGAACUCCACAUUCCGCAUGUCCUCUAGCAUUACUCUAUACCUAUCCUCCCAUGCUUGCAACUUGAGAAUCCUCAUGUUCCUGAGGCACUCAGAAGUCUUUCUCAUCCUAUCGUCCUUGGCACCCAUUAAUUUAUCUUGAUAGUCUUCUUGAAUCCUAGCUAAUGGAACGGUUGCAACAAUGGAUAUAAUGGUGGCAACUAAAGUAGCCACAGAUGCAAUACCAACAUUUUUAUACAAAAUAGCAAGAGCCAGAAUGAUUUGAAGAGGCAGCAUCCAUAUAUCAUGAAGAUACCAUGAGUAGUCUCCUACUCUCUGAACAUCCACU
rnacentral:misc_RNA from 1 species